GUUAAGUCCUCUCCAUCUAUGAUCUUUUGGUAUGUACAGAAAAUCAAAGCUCUACUAACUUUUUAGCUACUUGUGCCCCUUCUCCUGUAUCCGCCAACCCCAGUCCUCAGUUAACAUUUAUUUUUAUAGAGAUGGAGUGUCACUAUGUUGCCCAGGCUGGUAUUGAUCUCCUGGGCUCACAUGAUCCUCAGGCCUCAGCCUGCCAAAGUGCUGGGAUUACAGGUGUGAGCCACUGUGCCCGGCCCUCAGUUAACAUUUUUACCAUGAAUGCCGUUUGGUUUGACUUUGAAGUCAGACUUUGAUUAAUUCUUCCACCAUCAUUACCCCUUUGGUAUAGGCUGUGAAUUCUGGGCCUCUGUUAACCACAUCACCUUUAAUGGGUCUCUGGUCUGUGGCUCAGACUUGAGUCUAAGUUAACCUUCCAUUCAAGGCCUCUCUGAAAUAACUUCGGAACUGGGUUACUAUUCCACCACCAGUGCCCCUCUGAUUUGAUCUUUAGGCAGGGUAUUUGUUCAUGUUUUCUCCAUCCAUACACCCUGAUAGAGGUAUUGAAUCUUAGGACUUUCUUAACUAUUGCAACCAUCAGAGUUCCUGUUUUGUAUAGAACAUGAACCUUUGUUAACUCUGUAAUCCUGUUCCAGGCUGACUUCCAAUCCAGCCAUUUGUUAAACUCUUCUAAAACCAAUGUCCCUUAGGUUUUACCUCGAACGUCUGACUCUAUGAAAUCUUUUAGUUUAGAUAAGGGUUGCAAAAGGCCAUAUAAGCCUACUUGAACUAAGGUGGGCAGAAGUCCAGGCUGUAAAUGACAGGUGAAGGCAGGCCCUUCCGUGUUCAAAGGAGCCAAUGGAGGACCGGUGGGCAGUGAGUGACAGACGGGGAUGGGUCCUGACGCCUAGGAGAAACAAUAGGAAGGCGGGAGGGCGCCGAGGCCAGGUGGGGAGAGGUGGGCGAGUAUGUGUGAGCCCCCUGAAUGACUGUAUGAUGUCAAAGGUCUCUUCCCUUUCUCCAGACGUUUUAGGGAUCCGCUUUGCAGAGGAAUCUCCCGGGGGGUGCUAUGUCCGGCCUUCCCACUUCCCCACUUCCCACCCUGCCAUAUCGCCACGCCUAUGCUCAGGCCGUGCCUCUUCUGGUGGCCGGGAACGCCCACUCACCCGCCCGGGACAGUCGCGGCCCUUCCAAGCCUCACACUGCUUUCGUAGGAUCAAUUUCGAAUACCCAAACUCGGAGAUAUCACGAGGACGCCCCCGGGCCCCCAAACGCACCUCUCCUCUGGCUGGAAUGGGAGCCUCCAGAAGCAGUGCGAGACCACGGCCAGCGACAGAGGACAAAGUUCCGGAAAUGGAAUUACUGAGUCAGACGAGAAACACAAGUCAUCAGUGA
rnacentral:lncRNA from 1 species